rnacentral:lncRNA from 1 species
CCUCCUUAGUUUUUCUUGUUCAUAUCCAUUUGUUUUCUUGUCACUCUAAUCUCAUCUUUAUGUUUUAUCCCCUUUUUUUUUGAAUUUUGAAACUCCUCUAUCUUUUGGGUCUAUCACACCACCAUCCUUAUUUCAAUCACUUCAAAGUUUCCAUUUUUGCUCAUUUGAAUAUCGGAUCCUGAAUAAAAACUCCGAUCCAAAUAGCGGACUAUGUUUUUAAACAUAAUUAAAGCCACUCUAUACAAAAUGUUGCCAAACAAUAUUUACUUAUAUAACAAAAAGCGAUAUAUAGCUCAAAGUUUAUAAGGAAACUAUCAAUAAUAUUAUAACGCCCCGACCGUCCACGGUUGAUGGGUCAUCACGUCCGCUCUCUCAAUUUGUGGGCUCCAUUCCAUUUGACGGUCGGUAUGUAAAAUUUCUAAGGCUCGAAAUCAUUGUUUACUGACCCUACAAUCAUCAUAUGAACUUUUUCUGUGCUUUAACUUCACUUGCACGGUAUCGCGAAUCACUUUCCGAUAGGUCACACAUCAUUUCACUAUUCCAGUCUAAGCAUGCUUAACUCUGAAAUUUUAAACGGAUAUGUAACGGAAAAAGUAACUCAACUUUGAUAACAUAGGUAGCCAAAUCAAUUUUCUUAAACCUUUUCAUAUAUCAUAACUUGGAUGUUACAAAUAUAAUUUGUGUGUCCGAAGUAUCAGAUGAUUCACAUCAUUUAUAAAUUU